AGGAUAUCUUAAGGUUUAAGAAUAUUUAAUGAGAAAAUAUAUAAUAAUAUUAAAUUUAGUAAAAGGACCAAAUAUAAAUAUUAUAUGUAAUGUUCAAAGUGGAGUCACUUUACUUAGGACUUGUCUAAUGAAGAUAAUCCCUUUGACAGGAUUUUAAUUUAAUUUUUUGUAAUAUCAAUAAAAAGACAAUCAUUAAGUAGGAUCCAGUUGAAAUAAAUUUUAAAACUAUUUUUACUUUAAUUUUAUCAAACUUUAAAUAUUUAGAGAACAGUAUUUAUAAAUAAGACAGUUAAAAAUAAAUUUAAAAAAUUAUAGUUUAAGUUCUGAGAGAUAACAUUUUUUUUUUCAACUAAGACUCCGUGGGCCCAACCAUCCAAGACCCGCCAAUACAAUGCCGAGAAGAGUCCAACUUGUUUUAAAUCAAGAAUCAGGAGAGGAGGGCGAGGAGGAAGUGGAGGAACUGGAGACUGGAAGGGUGUAUGAAGUGGCAGCCCCCCUUGAAUACCUCAUUGAUCCCUUGGAGCACUCAAGCCCAGAGUUUACGCACUCUAUCGAGACUCCUUAAACUCAAGGUGACUUAAAAGGCCAGAUGGACUCCGACACCGAAUCCGAAUCCCGUCCAGGUCGCUGAGAGUGCAACUGCCAAAUGACAAAGAGUGGGUGGUGGCGGUGGGGUCUGGAGCCGGUGGCGAAGUUAGACGCACUAUUGUCCUCUGCAAAUCCUCAUUGUAACAAGCGCCCAGAAUCAUUGCCUUACGCACACGUCGCCCUGACUCCAGGCUUCGGAAAGUGCAGCGGCAAGAGCACCAACAAUGCCAAUGCAAAAAAGUUGCCAUAAAGAGACGACAAAAUCCCCAUCUCCACUUUGCCGGCAUCGCCCAAAAAUAAAUGCAACGCCUCCGAAUGGACGAUCUCCCAUAUACUCGCACUCGCACUGGCACUGCCACUCGCACUCAUUCCUCCAUCGCUCCCUUUCUCCCUCUUGGGAGAUCCGAGAUCCCCAACCCGUCGGAUGCAUCGUCCGUUGCUUCUGCUGCUGCUGUUGCUCCCAGCAAGUUCAUUGGCCUGGCUCAAGGCAAGGCGAGCGGAGCACGAAAGGAAAUCAAGACAGGGCACACAGUGAGAAAACAAACUGGCGAAUAAUUCUGAUUGUUUUUAAGGCGAUUAGUUUCUUAAAGGUAGCUCCAUUGGACAGAAACUUCACAUAUCUAGUCACAGGCUAGUCAUCAUAGCCUGUUUAAUAAUAUAUCUAUGUAUAUUAAGCAAGGAAAAUAUACCCUUGCAGUUAAGUAGCAUUUUAUAUUAUUAAUUAUAUAUGUAUAUAUCAUAAAUAAAUAUUAUAUAUUUAUGAUAAUUUUCCUAUAGAAUAAAACUUUUAGAAAAUGUUGGAUAAUCAAAAAUACCAAUGUUGUGUCAUUUUCGAUCGUUCUAUAUAAGUUAUAUGGCAGCUUUACAAUAUAGUCGCUAUAGACUCUAUAUAGUAUAGAGUAUAGAUUAUAGACUCUAUAGUAUAAAGUAGAGAAUCUAAGACAUCUUUACAUCAAUUAAGGUAGUGCCUUUUUUAAGAUUCUUAGGGAAGUUUAAGAUACUUAAAGUAGCACCAUGACUCGAGCAUUUUGUCGAAAUCGAUCCAUUUCAAAACCUAGGACAAUCUAUAAGCUUUUGACCUUGGUUAAUUUAGUCGGUGAUGAUAACAAAGCUCUAGAAAACAAGCUUCCAUAGGUUAAACGGAAAUUAAAAAAUCAGCCUCCAAACAGUCUAGUUUUGUGAGGCGCUCAGUCAAGAAACCGAAAUGAGAUUCGAAAUUUUAAUAUUUAUAAUUAUAGUUAUUGUUGUUUCAUCGCCAACAUCCUUGGGUCGGCCACCCUGCGGAGGCAAUUUUACGGCAAUUGGCUUCAAGUGCUACUAUAUUGAACAGGAUAAUGCCCAAGAGUGGCUCAGUGCUAUAUACCAAUGCAGCCGAUUGGGCGGUCACCUAGCAAGAAUUCAAGGCCGGCAUGAGCUCGAUAAUAUCAGCAAAAAGCUAAAGCCCAACUCGGAAUACUUUGUUAACAUAAAGACUCCGAUGCAUGAUAGAUUCGGGAUUCAAGGAGAGCAAGAACAUCACUUAGAAUCGAACCAAACACAGACCAAGAGAUGGAAUUCUGCCUAUGUGGUCUAUGUCAUGAACUCAUUUGGUCAUAUUGCUACGAGAAUGGGUUACUCCAAUAAAUUAUUUGUUUGCGAGAAGCGGAAGGAACUCACCGAGAGGCAGAAGAGGAGGAUCAUAAAUAAACCACCAGUUUUACGAAAAAUUGGCGAAAGGUACUACUUCAUAGAACACUAUAUGCCGAGCCUAUGGAAUGCCGCCGUCGAAUAUUGCGAAAAAAGGGGUGGCCAUUUGGCUACGCCGAGGAACGAACUGGAAUUGUCCAACCUUUCAGAAUAUCUUCAGCCCGGCUUACAAUAUUACAUCGACCUUAAUGACUACCUAGAAGAAGGUAAAUUUAUGUCUGUAACUACAGGCUUACAAGGUAAUUAUACUGCCUGGGCAGCUGGCGAACCAAAUAUGAAAUUUGGAAUAGGAAAUGUUGUCAUUGAAAAGACUGAAUCUGGUACUUAUAUGAGACAUGUUCCCCACGCAGACUCUUAUUUAUAUAUAUGUGAAGGACCCUUUUAGAUUGCUUACAAUUUGUAAAUUUCCAUUAAUAAAGAUUUCUUAAAUUUUAAAUUAAUA